rnacentral:rRNA from 1 species
UGGGGAAUAUUGGACAAUGGGGGCAACCCUGAUCCAGCCAUGCCGCGUGUGUGAAGAAGGCCUUCGGGUUGUAAAGCACUUUUGUUGGGGAAGAAAAGCUCCUGGUUAAUACCUGGGGGUCAUGACGGUACCCAAAGAAUAAGCACCGGCUAACUUCGUGCCAGCAGCCGCGGUAAUACGAAGGGUGCAAGCGUUACUCGGAAUUACUGGGCGUAAAGCGUGCGUAGGCGGUUUGUUAAGUCUGUCGUGAAAGCCCCGGGCUCAACCUGGGAAUGGCGAUGGAUACUGGCGAGCUAGAGUACGGUAGAGGAGAGUGGAAUUCCCGGUGUAGCAGUGAAAUGCGUAGAGAUCGGGAGGAACAUCAGUUGCGAAGGCGGCUCUCUGGACCAGUACUGACGCUGAGGCACGAAAGCGUGGGGAGCAAACAGG